UACGUAGGCAGCGAGCGUUGUUCGGAGUUACUGGGCGUAAAGGGUGUGUAGGCGGUUGUUUAAGUUUGGUGUGAAAUCUCCCGGCUCAACUGGGAGGGUGCGCCGAAUACUGAAUGACUUGGAGUGCGGGAGAGGAGAGUGGAAUUCCUGGUGUAGCGGUGAAAUGCGUAGAUAUCAGGAGGAACACCGGUGGUGUAGACGGCUCUCUGGACCGUAACUGACGCUGAGACACGAAAGCGUGGGGAGCGAACAGG
rnacentral:rRNA from 1 species